CAUGCAGUCGAACGAGAGAGCGGGCUUCGGCCCGUGAUCUAGUGGCAGACGGCUGAGUAACACGUGAGGAACUUGCCCUCCGGUGGGGGACAACCACGGGAAACCGUGGCUAAUACCGCAUAACGUCGCAUUCUCUAAGGGGUGUGACCAAAGGUUUUGAUCGCCGGAGGAGAGUCUCGCGGCCUAUCAGCUAGUUGGUGAGGUAACGGCCCACCAAGGCAUCGACGGGUAGCCGGUCUGAGAGGACGAUCGGUCAGAGGGGGACUGAGACACGGCCCCCACUCCUACGGGAGGCAGCAGCAGGGAAUCUUGCGCAAUGGGCGAAAGCCUGACGCAGCGACGCCGCGUGGGGGAUGAAGGCUCUAGGGUUGUAAACCCCUUUUGCUGGGGAAGAAGAUCUGACGGUACCCAGCGAAUAAGGCCCGGCCAACUACGUGCCAGCAGCCGCGGUAAAACGUAGGGGCCAAGCGUUGUCCGGAAUUAUUGGGCGUAAAGGGUGCGUAGGCGGCCCGGUAAGUCUCUUGUGAAAGCUCCCGGCCCAACCGGGAGAGGUCAGGGGAUACUGCUGGGCUUGAGGAUAGCAGGGGAAGGUGGAAUUCCCGGUGUAGCGGUGAUAUGCGUAGAUAUCGGGAGGAACACCUGUGGCGAAAGCGACCUUCUGGGCUAUUUCUGGCGCUGAGGCACGAGAGCGUGGGGAGCGAACCGGAUUAGAUACCCGGGUAGUCCACGCCCUAAACGAUGAGUGCUAGGUAUGGGGGGUAUCGACCCCCUCCGUGCCGUAGCUAACGCAUUAAGCACUCCGCCUGGGGAGUACGGCCGCAAGGCUAAAACUCAAAGGAAUUGACGGGGGCCCGCACAAGCAGCGGAGCGUGUGGUU
rnacentral:rRNA from 1 species